GACGAACGCUGGCGGCGUGCCUAAUACAUGCAAGUAGAACGCAGUUGCGAACGGGUGAGUAACGCGUAGGUAACUGCCUCAUAGCGGGGGAUAACUAUUUGAAACGAUUGCUAAUACCGCAUACUGUGAGAUGUACCUGCGUUGUAUUAGCUAGUUGGCGAGGUAAAGGCUCACCAAGGCGACGAUACAUAGCCGACCUUAGAGGGUGAUCGGCCCCACUGGGACUGAGACCCGGCCCAGACUCCUACGGGAGGCAGCAGUAGGGAAUCGUCGACAAUGGACGAAAGUCUGACCGAGGAACGCCGCGUGAGUGAAGAAGGUUUUCGGGUCGUAAAACUCUGUUGUUAGAGAAGCGGUAUCUACCCAGAAAGCCACGGCUAACUACGUGCCAGCAGCCGCGGUAAUUC
rnacentral:rRNA from 1 species